rnacentral:lncRNA from 1 species
GAGACAUUCAAACAACAGCAGCCUUCUUUCCCUUUGAUUGAAGAAAGAAACUAGCAGUCCAGUGGCCUCUGGCAUGCAGAGCCUGUGGGCAGCAUCUGCCCCUGUGGAGAGGAGAGGAGGGAAGAUGUCGUGGCUGACAUUCUUCUUGACCCUUGAGGCUGCUCUUCACUGCCCUGGCAUUUCUCCUAGUCAGGCCAAAAGCAAAGAGCUGACUGCAACGAGCUGAACAACCUGUCUUUGGAAGGAAGUCUCUCCUGAUGGCUUUGAGGACCCAAGUGGAAUGAGUAUCAUAGGCAAAUGCUUUUCAGGGGUAAUCUUGUGACAAACCAGGCAUGGAGAGCUAGCUGUGAAAUUCCAGAGAUGAUCUCAAGGUAAUUAGUCUACAGCCCAGCCACUGCUGAGAUGACACCAGCACACGCUCCAGGUGGACCAUGACUCAAGACGGCCACCAGAACAAGGCAUACCGACCUUACACUCAGCACCAUGCCCGCAUGCCUCCCUCUCCAAGUUCCUCUUUUAAGCCCCUCUCCCCAGCCUAAAGUUUGAAAUGUUUCUUGUAAGGAAUGAGCCUGGCCAUUUCCCCAACCGCUGGCUUUUGGAAUAAAGUCACUUUCCUUUUACUGCAUCUCGUCCUCGUUCAUUUGGCUUUACAAGCAGUGAUCAGCCCAGCUUGCGUUUGGCUACAAUCUCAAAAAUUAUAACUUGUCUUAUGUAUCUACUACUAUCA